rnacentral:rRNA from 1 species
UCAAUAAGCGGAGGAAAAGAAACCAACCGGGAUUGCCCUAGUAACGGCGAGUGAAGCGGCAAGAGCUCAAAUUUGAAAGCUGGCCCCCUCGGGGUCCGCAUUGUAAUUUGCAGAGGAUGCUUCGGGAGCGGUCCCCAUCUAAGUGCCCUGGAACGGGCCGUCAUAGAGGGUGAGAAUCCCGUAUGGGAUGGGGUGCCCGCGCCCGUGUGAAGCUCCUUCGACGAGUCGAGUUGUUUGGGAAUGCAGCUCUAAUUGGGUGGUAAAUUUCAUCUAAAGCUAAAUAUUGGCCGGAGACCGAUAGCGCACAAGUAGAGUGAUCGAAAGAUGAAAAGCACUUUGAAAAGAGAGUUAAACAGCACGUGAAAUUGUUGAAAGGGAAGCGCUUGCGAUCAGACUCGCUCGCGGGGUUCAGCCGGCCUUCGGGCCGGUGUACUUCCCCGCGGGCGGGCCAGCGUCGGUUUGGGCGGCCGGUCAAAGGCCCCUGGAAUGUAACGCCUCUCGGGGCGUCUUAUAGCCAGGGGUGCCAUGCGGCCUGCCCGGACCGAGGAACGCGCUUCGGCUCGGACGCUGGCAUAAUGGUCGUAAGCGACCCGUCUUGAAACACGGACCAAGGAGUCUAACAUCUACGCGAGUGUUCGGGUGUCAAACCCGUGCGCGCAGUGAAAGCGAACGGAGGUGGGAACCCCUCGGGGUGCACCAUCGACCGAUCCUGAUGUCUUCGGAUGGAUUUGAGUAAGAGCGUAGCUGUUGGGACCCGAAAGAUGGUGAACUAUGCCUGAAUAGGGCGAAGCCAGAGGAAACUCUGGUGGAGGCUCGCAGCGGUUCUGACGUGCAAAUCGAUCGUCAAAUUUGGGUAUAGGGGCGAAAGACUAAUCGAACCAUCUAGUAGCUGGUUCCUGC